AGUAAAUAGAUACCCUGGUAGUCCACGCCGUAAACGAUGUCGACUUGGAGGUUGUGCCCUUGAGGCGUGGCUUCCGGAGCUAAACGCGUUAAGUCGACCGCCUGGGGAGUACGGCCGCAAGGUUAAAACUCAAAUGAAUUGACGGGGGCCCGCACAAGCGGUGGAGCAUGUGGUUUAAUUCGAUGCAACGCGAAGAACCUUACCUACUCUUGACAUCCAGAGAACUUAGCAGAGAUGCUUUGGUUGCCUCCGGGAACUCUGAGACAGGUGCUGCAUGGCUGUCGUCAGCUCGUGUUGUGAAAUGUUGGGUUAAGUCCCGCAACGAGCGCAACCCUUAUCCUUUGUUGCCAGCGGUUAGGCCGGGAACUCAAAGGAGACUGCCAGUGAUAAACCUGGAGGAAGGUGGGGAUGACGUCAAGUCAUCAUGGCCCUUACGAGUAGGGCUACACACGUGCUACAAUGGCGCAUACAAACGAGAAGCGACCUCGCGAGAGCAAGCGGACCUCAUAGAGUGCGUCGUAGUCCGGAUUGGA
rnacentral:rRNA from 1 species